rnacentral:rRNA from 1 species
UGAACUGCGGAAGGAUCAUUACCGAGUGUAGGGUUCCUAGCGAGCCCAACCUCCCACCCGUGUUUACUGUACCUUAGUUGCUUCGGCGGGCCCGCCAUUCAUGGCCGCCGGGGGCUCUCAGCCCCGGGCCCGCGCCCGCCGGAGACACCACGAACUCUGUCUGAUCUAGUGAAGUCUGAGUUGAUUGUAUCGCAAUCAGUUAAAACUUUCAACAAUGGAUCUCUUGGUUCCGGCAUCGAUGAAGAACGCAGCGAAAUGCGAUAACUAGUGUGAAUUGCAGAAUUCCGUGAAUCAUCGAGUCUUUGAACGCACAUUGCGCCCCCUGGUAUUCCGGGGGGCAUGCCUGUCCGAGCGUCAUUGCUGCCCAUCAAGCACGGCUUGUGUGUUGGGUCGUCGUCCCCUCUCCGGGGGGGACGGGCCCCAAAGGCAGCGGCGGCACCGCGUCCGAUCCUCGAGCGUAUGGGGCUUUGUCACCCGCUCUGUAGGCCCGGCCGGCGCUUGCCGAACGCAAAUCAAUCUUUUCCAGGUUGACCUCGGAUCAGUAGGAUACC